GGUCGCUUAGCUCAGUUGGUUAGAGCGUAAGUAAUCCAGCUCUCCAUCCAUGCGCCGUCAAUUAACUCGGAACAGGUGGUGCUAAUAUCAAACACAUCUGUGUCUGGGACGCCAAGGUCGCGAGUUCGACCCUCGUAGUGACCA
rnacentral:tRNA from 1 species